rnacentral:rRNA from 1 species
AACGUAGGGGGCGAGCGUUGUCCGGAAUUACUGGGCGUAAAGGGCGCGUAGGCGGUUCUUUAAGUCAGAGGUGAAAACUGUCGGCUCAACCGGCAGCCUGCCUUUGAAACUGGAGGACGUGAGGGCAGGAGAGGGGAGUGGAAGUACCAGUGGAGCGGUGAAAUGCGGAGAUCGUGGGAGGAAAACCAGUGGCGAAGGCGGCGCUCUGGCAUGUUGCUGACGCUGAGGCGCGCAAUCGUGGGGAUCCAACAGGAUUAGAUACCCCCGUAGUCC